rnacentral:rRNA from 1 species
CGAUGAACCACUUCGGUGGGGAUUAGUGGCGAACGGGUGAGUAACACGUGGGCAAUCUGCCCUGCACUCUGGGACAAGCCCUGGAAACGGGGUCUAAUACCGGAUACUGAUCAUCUUGGGCAUCCUUGGUGAUCGAAAGCUCCGGCGGUGCAGGAUGAGCCCGCGGCCUAUCAGCUUGUUGGUGAGGUAAUGGCUCACCAAGGCGACGACGGGUAGCCGGCCUGAGAGGGCGACCGGCCACACUGGGACUGAGACACGGCCCAGACUCCUACGGGAGGCAGCAGUGGGGAAUAUUGCACAAUGGGCGAAAGCCUGAUGCAGCGACGCCGCGUGAGGGAUGACGGCCUUCGGGUUGUAAACCUCUUUCAGCAGGGAAGAAGCGAAAGUGACGGUACCUGCAGAAGAAGCGCCGGCUAACUACGUGCCAGCAGCCGCGGUAAUACGUAGGGCGCGAGCGUUGUCCGGAAUUAUUGGGCGUAAAGAGCUCGUAGGCGGCUUGUCGCGUCGGUUGUGAAAGCCCGGGGCUUAACCCCGGGUCUGCAGUCGAUACGGGCAGGCUAGAGUUCGGUAGGGGAGAUCGGAAUUCCUGGUGUAGCGGUGAAAUGCGCAGAUAUCAGGAGGAACACCGGUGGCGAAGGCGGAUCUCUGGGCCGAUACUGACGCUGAGGAGCGAAAGCGUGGGGAGCGAACAGGAUUAGAUACCCUGGUAGUCCACGCCGUAAACGGUGGGCACUAGGUGUGGGCGACAUUCCACGUCGUCCGUGCCGCAGCUAACGCAUUAAGUGCCCCGCC